CCUUUGUACACACCGCCCGUCGCUACUACCGAUUGAAUGGCUUAGUGAGACCUCCGGAUUGGCAAUGGGGAGCCGGCGACGGCACCCCUUGGCCGAGAAGUUGGUCAAACUUGGUCAUUUAGAGG
rnacentral:rRNA from 1 species